CCUAGCUGUGGACCUGGGAAAGCUUGCCAGUAGGCAUAUAGAUUUCCAGUCAGCUGCUGAAACUCAGCAAUCUUCACAGGACAAGGCAACAGAUCUCCUGAAAGCAAAGUCUGUUCAGGAGUUCUUAGGACAAACCAAAAAUGGCUUGGCUCUGUUCAUGAGUCGGUACAACACAGUGACUCAUGGACUGGGGCCAAAGACAUUUGAGGUCUCUGUUCAAAUUCUGGAGGCGUACCUACGUCAAGUCAUACGGCAGCUUACAGAAGAAAGUUAAAGCAAUUGUGCUGUGCAUGCAGCAGUGUUUUGUUUGUUUAGUUUGCAGUUAAAAAAAGUACUAGUCUUUAACAAAAGCUUUUCCACUUGAUAGUUCUUUAUUGUAUUUUGUGUACUUUUUUUCAAAUGUUAACUUUUGUACUACUUUACAAACACAUAAAAAAAAUAAUAAAACAAAACUUUGUCAGUGCUAAUGCUUAACUUUGGAAAUUAAAACCUUUACAAGAGCA